UGUGUGGACUCUGCGGCGAGAUGGGAUUCAGAAUCCUUUUCCGUGAUAGCACAUCCAAGGAAGGAAGGAGAUUGAGGUUGGCACCUCCUGAAGGCAUGCAUGCUCUUCACCGAGAGAGGGAAGGGCAUCUUUUUCUUGGGUUGCAGUUUCCACCUUGUUGUUGGGUGAGAGCUCUUGUGGAUAAUCAGACAUGGGGUGCAUGGCAAAAUUAGGACAGACUGAAGGCAGCAAAUUCCGCGUUGGCCGUGCACUUUGAGGAGAAGACAUUGUCUUUGUAUAAGUGCCCCUACAAUCAUCUCUUUACAGCAGAGAUAAGGCCUUCAGAUAGAUAUGGCCGCAUAAAUCGCACCGAUGGAUCCAGUCCUUCGCUAGGUCCAACCUACCCUGCACCAGCCUCAAGCACGUGA